rnacentral:rRNA from 1 species
GACGAACGCUGGCGGCGUGCCUAAUACAUGCAAGUCGAACGCAGUGGGGCCUGGUGAGUAACACGUGGGUAACCUCCCAUCAGAGGGGAUAACACUUGGAAACAGGUGCUAAACCGAUACUGAUGGAUGGACCCCCGGUGCAUUAGCUAGGUGGUGAGGUAACGGCUCACCAAGGCCACGAUGCCUAGCCGACCUGAGAGGGUGAUCGGGCACACUGGAACUGCGACACGGCCCAGACGCCUACGGGUGGCAGCAGUAGGGAAUUUUCGGCAAUGGACGAAAGUCUGAUCGAGCAAUGCCGCGUGAGUGAAGAAGGUUUUCGGAGUGUAAAACUCUGUUGUUAGAGAAGCGGUAUCUAACCAGAAAGCCCCGGCUAACUACGUGCCAGCAGCCGCGGUAAUAC